AAUGGUUAAUCUCGAUUGAUUUUGAUUGAUUUAAACUUCAAAAAAAAUAGAUAUGUUUUCUACUUAUCAUUCAUCCGCAUGCGGAGGGGGGUGGUGGUGGUGGUGAGUUGACUGUGUGGCCUCCUUCGCGUGAUGCCUUUGUCCCUAAAUUAUCAGAGUAGCUAUCAAAUUUUAUCUAAUUACGAGAAGUUUCACUUGCAUAGCAAAUAAAAAGAGAAAGUCGUGUUCUGAAAGCUUAUUAUUAGGCCGAAUCGUCUAUUUAUUUUUAUUGUUUUACCAAAGAAUCGUCUAUUAGAUAUAAUUGCUUUACAGGAAAAGACAUGAUCAAACUUUCAAAACAAAAAUGUGUUUACAAUAAACCAUUUUGGGGAGGAAACAAGCAAUAACAGGAGUCCGUGAUUAGAAAUUGAUGGAUUAGUGUUAAGAACGUUCUAUUAGAGUUUUUUGGGAGACAAUUAGAUCAACAUUUUUUAUUUUAGUGUUAGAGGGGCUGGGGUAGUUGCCCGCACCCUUAGUUCCCUCAUGCAUGUUUUUUCCGGUGCUCCUUGGUUUGCCUAAAAAACAUUUAGUACCCAAUUUCUUAAGGUGUGUGUUCAGUAUCAUGUGUUCUUGUCCCCAUACUAUACAAUAUUGGUACUACUUUUCCAAGAUUUUUAGUUGGAAUGCAAGGUGAAUAAAUAAAAUAGUUGCUCGAGUUAUCUCACCUUGAAUCCUUCAUUACUAUUGGGCCGUCAAAACAUGUAUUGUGAAUCUUCUGAAUAGAAAUAAUCUUCUACUUAAAAACGAAUACAUCAUCAUGCAUGCCUUUUUUUCUUGAAAAAUAUUUCCAACAAUUUGAAAGUAUUGAAGGGUUCAAUUAGCAAAAUGUACACCAUCUUCCGAAAAUAUCCGUCCAUCCCACUAUUUAAGUGACCCCAAUCCUAACUCUCUUCUUACAUCUCCCACUCCCCUUCCCUUCCGCCGCCGCCGCCGCCCAUCUACAUCAUCUCUCUCUGCUACCAACUUCAUGCACCCAACUCAAUUCUUCACAAAUCGCCUCCAUAGCUUUGUUGCCACCCCACCUUGCUACCAUCAAGAACAAUUCUUGUUGCCGGUGACGCCCUCACCACCCGCAAACACUUGUGGCCAACUCAUGUAUUACAACAAACCAAAAGCCUGGAUAAUCUCCUUAUAGUUUCGAUAUGGAGUCGACCAGAAGCCACCAGAUCUAAAGAUGUCGAUUCAACACCCUCGAUUCUAGUGAAGAAGAUGGGUCUCAAGGCCUGAUUGGAUGGAUCGCCAAAAUAAAAACAGAUCUGGCACUAGAUCUACAGAUGGCAACACCCUUUGGCACUCGUUGACAACCACCUUCCACCUGAUCUUGGAUUGAUCCGGACAAAAACCUAUGAUGCAGAUCUUGUGGUGAAGAUGGGCUAAUGGCCCAAUCUCCAUAUGCCAACAGCUCGAGGAGGACAAAUCAGAUCUAUAGAUGGUAACAUCUUUGACAUUCGUCACCAACUACCUCUCACCAUCCUAUCAUCACUACCCACCAAAUAGUUGGUGGAUCUUGAUGAAAUCUUAUGGUUAAGAUCAAGAGAGAAGAUGGCUGAGAUAAGCACAGAACCGAAAUAGCCAUCGUACAAAAUGAGAUCUAGAGAUGGCAACAUGUACAUGCUUAGGGCUUGAAGGUUUUUCACCCAUCACCUCCCGUCAUGGUACCAACGCCGCCCAUGGAAUCCUGGGUGGACCGUGACAAACCCACAUGGCGAAAAUCUAGCGAUGAUUAAAGAUGGACGGCGAAGCCAGACCAGAUGCCUUAAAAUCACAAGAUCAAACACGGCAUAUUGGGUCAGAUCAACUAAGUUGUGAGCAUCGGACAUGGACUAGAGCACUAUAGCCUAUUAACGGCUGACGCCAUGAUGUCAAGAUCAGGUGAGACUCGUAUUAACUUCAUAUCUUGAACAUCUUUCAAGUUUAUAUCUUAGCUUGUGUGAUUGCUCACCGAAAAUAUAUCAGUUCCCCUAGCCGAUUGAUUAACUACUCAGAGUUGGAGGAGCGUAGGCUUAAGGGGUGAACUGUUUUGGUAAAUGCAAUUCAAUAGUAAACACUAUGCGAAAGGCAUUAUCUUCGUAUUACACUUUGUCGCUUUGUAGCGGGCUUAUACAAUAAGUUUAUCAAUCGGUUCAUCAUAGUAUUGCUGAUUAAAUCCCCAUGGGCAUUGCCCACGAGAGUAGGUAAUGAGAUUAACUCCUCCCUCGUUGUGUAACCCACCGACUGCCCGUGCUCAGGCACGCCUGGGUCAGGGUAAUAUUACUGAUCAGUAGAAGCUGACAUGAUCUGGAGAUGCAUGAUCAAUUGAGUUCCUUCCACUGUAAUAUUAAUAUGGUACGUGACAGGUGCGAUCUUAUUUUUAGGGCACCUGAUUAGCAAGAAACAACAAUAAAUCGGGCAUAUGAAAAACGUAGGAAUAAAUUGGGAUUUACUUAUGGAGGUCACCAAGGUACUCAAAAAGUAAAAGACGGACAUGUUCGGGUGCUAAGAGAUACUCGGACAGCCUGAAGAGUACAGCGAGAGAUGAUUAAUUUGUGGUCAACAUCUUUGUGUAUAUGAGUACUACCACAUCCAGCGAUGCAUGACAGGUCAAACCGUGUAGCUAUUAGCCUUCGUGUCUUCACUGAUCCUAUCUUUCUAGCAAUGACAAUGCUCGGAUCAUUGUUGUGUGAUGGUAGUGAUACGAGUUAUGAUCUGUAUUCUUUGAUG